CCCUUAGACGUUCUGGGCCGCACGCGCGCUACACUGACCGGUGCAGCAAGCAUCCGUCCUUGGCCGACAGGCCCGGGCAAUCUUUGAACGCCGGUCGUGAUGGGGAUAGACUUUUGCAAUUUUUGGUCUUCAACGAGGAAUUCCUAGUAAACGCAAGUCAUCAACUUGCAUUGAUUACGUCCCUGCCCUUUGUACACACCGCCCGUCGCACCUACCGAUUGAAUGGUCCGGUGAAAUCUCCGGACUGGCGUGAGUCGGAGCAAUCUGACAAACACCGGAAAGUUGAUUAAACCUUACCAUUUAGAGGAAGGUGAAGUCGUAACA
rnacentral:rRNA from 1 species